GUAAAGCCUCAGACAACACAAACCUUAAUCUGUUUAGUAACAGCAACAUGGAAAAGCCUGGGCUAGAACCAUUUAAUAUCUAGGGCAAAGCCUCACUAUAUCACCAAUGGAGCACUUAGUCCUCAGACCACAUGAACAGGGGGAUGGAUUAUUUCUUAAACUUCAGCACUUGUUCAUGUUAUACUGGCCAAAAAUAGAAGAGAAGAUUGAGGAAUGUGGAAUUCAAGGCUGGAGAGGGAAGAGCCAACUGAUUGGCAGGUAUUUUAUUGUUUAUUUUGAGAGCAACAGUGUGAAGGAAAACUCCUGUUAAAGCCACACAACAA